CCGCCCAGAGGUAAACGGGUGGAUCCGCAAAGUCGGCCCGCGGAAUUCAGCGCGGCGCGCAGCACUGGGCAGCCGUGGUUCGGGAUCCCUGGGACCCAGCCGCGGCGUCGUUCGGGGCUCCGCCGCGUGCACUUUCCGCGGGCAGAGUGCCACAACCGGUUCGGCGGCGGCUAAAAACCUUGGAGGGUUGUCGGUGGGGGCGCUCGCGUGCCUACCAGCCCUUCUGUGACGAGCCGUCGCCGGACCGAGGGAACGCCGCGCGCUUCGAGGCCACCCUCCCCUCCUGGUGAGUUCGACUGGGAGAGACUGGGCAACCGUGUCUCCCGACCGCUCAUCUGUGACCGGCGCGGGGCUGGCCGGGCGUGCAUUGUCUGUCACGGUUGGUGGCAAGUAUGUCGGCAGUCCACCCGACCCGUCUUGAAACACGGACCAAGGAGUCUAACAUGCGCGCGAGUCAUUGGGCGGUACGAAACCCAAAGGCGCAGUGAAAGCGAGGGUCGUCUCUCGGCGACCCAGGUGGGAUCCAACCUCCCAAGAGCGAUCUG
rnacentral:rRNA from 1 species